CACGUAGGGUGCGAGCGUUGUCCGGAAUUAUUGGGCGUAAAGAGCUCGUAGGCGGUUGGGCAAGUCACGUGUGAAAUCUCCACGCUCAACGUGGAGGCGCCACGUGAGACUGCCCUGACUCGAGUCCGGUAGGGGAGCGUGGAAUUCCCGGUGUAGCGGUGAAAUGCGCAGAGAUCGGGAGGAACACCCGUGGCGAAGGCGGCUCUCUGGGACGGUACUGACGCUGAGACGCGAAAGCGUGGGGAGCGAACAGG
rnacentral:rRNA from 1 species